UUUAAAGUUGAUUUCCAAAGUAACAACUUAUAGGUUAGUGAAAAGAAAUAGGUUAAUCGUUCACAAUGUAUAAACAAUAGGUAAACAUUUUGUAAAUUAUAAUUUUUAUUUCUUCAUUUAUUUCCGCUAUGAUAAGGAACAAAAGAUACAGAUUUUCCAUGGUAAUCUCUAUGAAUAUCGGUCUAAAUGUAAUAAUCUUCUUCUACUACGAUAAGUAACAGUGGAUCCUAUAUAAUAACAUAUCAGCAUUGAGUAAAUUUCAAUUUAUAGAAGUGCACUUUGUUAAAAAAGAAAUUAGUUUUUUACUGUGCUCCAUAAAAAUGGAGAAGCAAGUUGUAGUGUCGGAGAAGAAAUCAUGUUUAGUAGACAUGAAACAACGAUUCGACGAUGAACUGUCCAAAAUUCGAGUUAAUGCUGCAAGAAACAGUUUUUUCUUAACCGAAACUACUUACCAGAAGUUAAUAAAUGAUGUACAAAAAGCCAAAGUAGCUUCUAAGAAGGAACCAAGGGAUUAUAAGUUGCUGAAUCGUUAUGAUGUGAUAACCGUAGAAAAAAAAAAUAAACUCAUUUAUCCUAUUAAAGAAGGUUUCAGUACUAUACAGUAUUAUGUCACGGACUCAGAGUUAUUUCACGUACUUCAUGAAGCUCAUUUGGCUAUUGGACAUGGAGGACGUGAUAGAAUGAUGAAAGAACUUUCAACCAAAUACAAAAAUGUUACACGUCACGAUAUUGAACUGUACAUUCACCUUUGUGAACCUUGCCAGAAAAAACAGAAAGGUAUUAAAAGAGGCAUUGUUGUAAAACAUCCUCUGAUGUGUUCCGAGUUUAAUUCCCGUUGUCAGGUAGAUCUUAUUGACUUUCAGUCUCAGCCAGAUAGAGAAUACAAAUUUAUUAUGGUGUAUCAAGAUCAUCUCACAAAAUUUGUGAUUCUUAAGUCUCUAACGUCAACAAAAGCUGAAGAAGUAGCCAAUAACCUAGUGGACAUAUUCUUGUUGCUUGGAGCACCAUCAAUAUUACAGUCUGACAAUGGUAGAGAAUUUACCAAUAAUGUGCUAAUCAGCUUGAAGAAGUUUUGGCCAGCACUGAAGAUCGUCCAUGGGGAGCCUUGCCAUUCACUAAGCCAGGGUAAUGUCAAAAAAGCUAAUCAAGAUAUCAUAAAUAUGCUCUGUACUUGGAUGCAGGACAACAAAUGUGGCCGAUGGAGUGAAGGACUGCGUUUUGUUCAAUUUAUGAAAAAUAGAGCUUAUCAUUUUGGGAUUAAAAAAACACCAUACGAAGCUCUUUUUGGCUGUAAAUCUAAAAUGGGGCUUACAACAUCUUCUCUACCAGAAGAUAUUUUAAAAGACAUAAAUACAGAGGAGCAGUUAGAAAGAGUAAUAGAAAGCAUCCAAACAAUGGAAAAAGGUGAAACUAAUCAGAUUAUCCAAAAAAAAGAGCCUGUCUUAGAAAACAUGGAAGAGAUUAAUGUCGAAAGUGGAUUAAACCAACAUGAUGAAGUCAUGAUUACCAAAGAGAUUUCCAUUUCUGAGACCUGUUAUAUGUGUUUAAAGGAAACAAAUGAUGUACUUGCAUGCAAAAAGUGUCAUCAAAAAAUUCAUACCUUCUGUGGCCAUGCUAGUAAAGACAAUGAAAACGAUAUUUUGUGCCCCUUUUGUUUCACAAUUGAAAAUGGUAAUGAAGGUAAAAUAAAUUCUAAAAUCAAAGUGGAAGUAGAAGCAAAAAGAAUGAAAAUGAAUUAGAAAAAACAAUUUUCUACUGUUUCUUUGGGAAUUACUGUGCGAAUUCCAAUUCCUGACGUUAACAAGCGGCGAGGUGAUUCGCCCUGAAAUAUAUUGACAGAUGUAAUGAGUGUGAUAGAUUUCUAUUGACUUGGAACUUCUAAAGGAAUUUUAAAAUAAGUAAAUGCGAGAUCACAAUUCACUUUAUGCCCUAAGAACUUGCUUAGAAUUGAAGAUAUUCCUGAUCAUAAAAUUCCUUUCCGGGCAGUUGCAAUUGUUCAGUCUAGUGGAAGCAGCCAAAGAUUCGUUAAAUGUAUGUGUAAAAAAAAGUGCCAAACUAUCAACUAUCUUUGCAUGAAAAAUGUAAUGAAAUGUAAUUUAAAAUGUCAUUCAAGCCUACCAUGUUGCAACAAGAAUGCACGUGUAGAGAUACGUAGUGCACUGGUCGGCGGUCCGUUAUCUUUUCAAGAAAGCCCAAAGAUCAACAGAAGGAGAUCCCCUUUAUCGUUUCUCUUUUCGGCAAGCUUGAUCAGCUGAUCGUUUGUGUGCGCGCGCAUGUUGCCCGAUAAUGUAUUCUUCUCAACAUUGCAUCAAAUAAAUAGCAUUUGGUAUUCUGUAGAAUGCUUAAAUAUUAUAUACGAUGUCUAGGAUUAUGUACAAUUAUUGUGUAACAAUUCUUCUGUUUCCAACAUUGCCUAAUAAAAACGCCAGGCAUUGUAAAUAAAAUAAAUUUCCUACUUUGCCGAGAA
rnacentral:misc_RNA from 1 species